UACGUAGGGAGCGAGCGUUGUCCGGAAUUACUGGGCGUAAAGGGCGCGUAGGCGGGUUUUUAAGUCAGGUGUGAAAACUCCAGGCUCAACUUGGAGAGUGCACUUGAAACUGGGGACCUUGAGGACAGGAGAGGAAAGUGGAAUUCCUAGUGUAGCGGUGAAAUGCGUAGAUAUUAGGAGGAACACCAGUGGCGAAGGCGACUUUCUGGACUGUACCUGACGCUGAGGCGCGAAAGCAUGGGGAGCGAACGGGAUUAGAUACCCCGGUAGUCCAUGCCGUAAACGAUGAAUACUAGGUGUAGGAGGUAUCGACCCCUUCUGUGCCGCAGCUAACGCAAUAAGUAUUCCGCCUGGGGAGUACGGUCGCAAGACUAAA
rnacentral:rRNA from 1 species